rnacentral:rRNA from 1 species
UACGGGGGGAGCAAGCGUUGUUCGGAUUUACUGGGCGUAAAGGGCGCGUAGGCGGCCUGGUAAGUAGGGGGUGAAAUCCUGCGGCUUAACCGCAGGGCUGCCUUCUAAACUGUCAGGCUUGAGCACGGUAGAGGCAGAUGGAAUUCCCGGUGUAGCGGUGGAAUGCGUAGAGAUCGGGAAGAACAUCAGUGGCGAAGGCGGUCUGCUGGGCCGUUGCUGACGCUGAGGCGCGACAGCGUGGGGAGCAAACAGG